AGCCUACCUUGUCAAGCUAUUGAAAUAUGAAAAAUAUGUGUUACCAGUUUUCAACCGAAAUUCCUGAUUAUCCCAUGGCAUUUCUUUGAUGACAUGCAUGGCUUGAAAAAAACAUACUCAUGGGAAAUGUAAUACUAAGACACUAAGACACUAAUACUAAGACUGUGUCAGUAUGCUGUGCUUGAAAGUCAGCAUCACAUGAGAUCAUACAUGCUUCAUACGUGCAUAAGUCAGAAUAUGAUGUCAAUAUCACGGGUGCUAUAACCAAUUUAAACGAUUCCGUCCAGUGUUUCUACUCAUUCUGCUUCCAUGAUACUCAUAAAAAAUGUUUAUUCCGUCCAAUGUUGAUAUCAGCUUGCAGUGUGUGAGAAUUUGACAAGAUC